CAUAAAUCAUUUGCAUAGAUUCACAGGACACUUCUUUCUGUCUUUAAUUUCUCUUCUUUUUUUUUACCAGGGUUAUAUAAGUUUGCGGAACUUCACCCAGCAGUUCCGAAAUUUCUCCAUAUAAAUUGUCUAACCCUUAAAAAGGCUCAAACAUCAGGAUCAUUUAUUCUUCUAAUUUUUUUAACGUUAUACUUUUGACAAUUUAUAUGUAGAUGGCUUGGAAAGGUUACUCUUGAAACCUACAUUUCUCAGUUCCACAUCUGGUUGAGGUACUUCCUACUAUAUAAAGUUUCUUCGGAGUAUACCACAUGAUCCAGUGAUGACAGAUUCGAGUUCGACUACAAAAUUUUAGAAGUGUUUUUUUUAUUUUUUUAUUUUGUGGUGUACUACUUUUAUAUAUUAGCUUAACUUUUUAGUUAAUAUUUUAGAAAUGUUUUGUAUUGCACUUAAUUACUAAUUACUAAUGUAAUGAUAUUAAUAUUUAGUGAA